AUGACUGGAAAUGGUCAACAUUGUAGAGAGAGCCUCUGGUGUAGAUCACUUGCCCUAAGUGGGAUCACCGCGAGCCGGAGCCUAACCUGGCAACAGAGGGCAGGGCACAAGGCCGAAGGAGGAGGGGACACAGCCUGGACAGGAUGCCAGUCUGUUGCAAGCCUACCCAAGGAGGGCUCAAACCCCAGACCAACCACACAGCAGGCACUGGGUGAACCUGCUGCACCACCGUGCCCUCUGCAUGGCACAUAUAGUACAAUGAAUUGUUAUUGGUACAAUCACAUUUACCUUAGGACUGAAAUCCUAAGAAAUGAAAUGAAAGUUUACUACUGAAAUGAAAGUUUAUGCACGCAGUGUAAAUCACAUGGAGUGCACCCUCCCUGAUAUUGGGGACAGCUGGUAGUGGUUAGAGCACCUGCCUUUGGACCCAAAAGUUGCAGGUUUGAGCCUCCCCUCUCGCUGUUGUACCCCUGAGCAAGGUACUUACCCUGAAUUGCUCCAGUAAAAAUUACCCAACUGUAUAAACAGGUAAAUAAUUGUAACCUUAACAUUGUAAGUUGCCUUGGAGAAAAGUGUCAGGUAAAUGAGUACAUGCCCUGUACUGUAUAGUAUGUGAUGUAAGGACUGGAGAGCAGAGGGUGUCUCUCUCAAUUACGUUCUGUCUAUAUGCAUCGAAAGGGGUGUCAGUCUGCGCUACCGCAAACGCUGCAGGUGGAAAGGCGCAGCUCUCAGCCUUGAAAGGAGCGGUGCCGUCCGUCUCGCAGUAAUUAGCUACCGCUCUGACUGACACUUGGAAAUGCUUCCGCGGAAAGUGGCGUACGGGAGCGGGUGUUCGGAGCAAAAUGCUGCUUUCGAGAAGGGAAAGCAACAGCGUAUCAAAGCGGGACAGAAACGUCGGCACGCCUGCAGGAGACAAACGGGACACCGACUGGAGUUAGGGGCCGUCGUGGAAUGUGAUUUGCGUCACUUUAUUUGUAGUAGCUCAAUCACAGCAACAAGUGCACUGUCACUGUCGCUAAUAACUGGAAGUCGCUUUGGAGAAAAGCGUCUGCUAAAUAAAUAGAUAAAUGUAAAUGUAAUAAGACA
rnacentral:lncRNA from 1 species